UACGGGGGGUGCGAGCGUUGUCCGGAAUCACUGGGCGUAAAGGGCGCGUAGGUGGUUUGAUAAGGGUGUGGUGAAAGCCCAGGGCUCAACCCCGGGUCGGCCGUGGCAACUGUCGAGCUGGAGCACUGUAGAGGCAGGUGGAAUUCCGGGUGUAGCGGUGGAAUGCGUAGAGAUCCGGAAGAACACCGGUGGCGAAGGCGGC
rnacentral:rRNA from 1 species